rnacentral:rRNA from 1 species
AUUGAACGCUGGCGGCAUGCUUUACACAUGCAAGUCGAACGGUAACAGGUUAAGCUGACGAGUGGCGUACGGGUGAGUAAUGCAUCGGAACGUGCCCGAUCGUGGGGGAUAACGCAGCGAAAGCUGCGCUAAUACCGCAUACGAUCUGAGGAUGAAAGCGGGGGACCGUAAGGCCUCGCGCGAUCGGAGCGGCCGAUGUCAGAUUAGGUAGUUGGUGGGGUAAAGGCCCACCAAGCCGACGAUCUGUAGCUGGUCUGAGAGGACGACCAGCCACACUGGGACUGAGACACGGCCCAGACUCCUACGGGAGGCAGCAGUGGGGAAUUUUGGACAAUGGGCGAAAGCCUGAUCCAGCAAUGCCGCGUGCAGGAAGAAGGCCUUCGGGUUGUAAACUGCUUUUGUACGGAGCGUAAAGGUCCUUUCUAAUACAAGGGGCUCAUGACGGUACCGUAAGAAUAAGCACCGGCUAACUACGUGCCAGCAGCCGCCGUAA